UGGAAACAGCUCUGCCGCGAGAAAGACUU
rnacentral:piRNA from 1 species